CAGGAAGCUGUUAGUUUCACCUGUCCUCUGCCUUCAGGUAACUAUAGACAGGAAGCUGUUAGUUUCACCUGUCCUCUGCCCUCAGGUAACUAUAGACAGGAAGCUGUUAGUUUCACCUGUCCUCUGCCUUCAGGUUACUAUAUACAGGGAGCAGUUAGUUUCACCUGUCCACUGCCUUCAGGUUACUAUAGACAGGAAGCUGUUAGUUUCACCUGUCCACUGCCUUCAGGUUACUAUAUAGAGGAAGCUGCAGUCCUGUCCACUACCUUCAGGUUACUAUAUAGAGGAAGCUCCUGUCCUGUCCACUACCUUCAGGUUACUAUAUAGAGGAAGCUCCUGUCCUGUCCACUACCUUCAGGUUACUAUAUAGAUGAAGCUCCUGUCCUGUCCACUACCUUCCGGUUACUAUAUAGAGGAAGUUGCUCUCCUGUCCACUACCUUCAGGUUACUAUAUAGAGGAAGCUGCUGUCCUGUCCACUACCUUCAGGUUACUAUAUAGAGGAAGCUGCUGUCCUGUCCACUGUCUUCAGGAUACUAUAUAGAGGAAGCUGCUGUCCUGUCCACUACCUUCAGGUUACUAUAUAGAGGAAGCUAAGAGAGAGAAUCUUAUUUAACCCUUUAGUUGCGUCCCCCUCAGCCCUACUUUAUUAAGAAUUAUAUUUUUAUGAGCUUCUUCUGGUCCAUGCUCUAACUCAGGCCCUACAGUCCGCAGGUGUGUGUGAGACAGGUGUGUGUGAGACAGGUGUGUGUGAGAGACAGGUGUGUGUGAGAGACAGGUGUGUGUGAGAGACAGGUGUGUGUGAGCUGUGUGUAAGACAGGUGUUUGUGAGAUAGCUGUGUGUAAGACAGGUGUGUGUGAGAUAGCUGUGUGUAAGACAGGUGUGUGUGAGAGCUGUGUGUAAGACAGGUGUGUGUGAGAUAGCUGUGUGUAAGACAGGUGUGUGUGAGAUAGCUGUGUGUAAGACAGGUGUGUGUGAGAGCUGUGUGUAAGACAGGUGUGUGUGAGAUAGCUGUGUGUAAGACAGGUGUGUGUGAGACAGGUGUGUGUGAGACAGGUGUGUGUGAGAUAGCUGUGUGUGAGACAGCUGUGUGUGUGAGAGCUGUGUGUGAGACAGGUGUGUGUGAGAGGUGUGUGUGUGAGAUAGCUGUGUGUGAGACAGGUGUGUGUGAGAGCUGUGUGUGAGAUAGCUGUGUGUGAGAUAGGUGUGUGUGAGACAGGUGUGUGUGAGAUAGGUGCGUGUGAGAUAGCUGUGUGUGAGAUAGCUGUGUGAGACAGGUGUGUGUGAGAGCUGUGUGUGAGACAGGUGUGUGUGAGAUAGGUGUGUGUGAGACAGCUGUGUGUGAGACAGGUGUGUGUGAGACAGCUGUGUGUGAGACAGCUGUGUGUGAGACAGGUGUGUGUGAGACAGGUGUGUGUGAGACAGGUGUGUGUGAGACAGCUGUGUGUGAGACAGGUGUGUGUGAGACAGGUGUGUGUGAGACAGGUGUGUGUGAGACAGGUGUGUGUGAGAUAGCUGUGUGUAAAACCGUUCGACUAGCAUCUCCUUGACAAAAACGUACAUUUUGGACAGAUUUCUUGAGUUAUCUUUAGAUUAAUUCUGAUUAUUUUGAGGAAGUGUAUAUUGGCUACGGCGUCUCAAGUUGGACAAACAGUACCAUCGCUACUUUUUUUUCUUGUUUUUCAAGAGAAGGUCUUUUAAGGGAGCAUGCGAGUACUCUCGUUUGGUUCAGCCGAAUCGAAGCGUGUGGAAGGAGUAACACAGGUGUGUGUGUGUGAGCUUGUAACACAGGUGUGUGUGUGUGAGCUUGUAACACAGGUGUGUGUGUGUGAGCUUGUAACACAGGUGUGUGUGUGUGAGCGUGUAAGACAGGUGUGUGAGCGUGUAAGACAGGUGUGUGUUAGAGCUGUGUGUAAGACAGGUUUGUUUGUGUGUGUGUGCGCGUUUGUCUAUAUACAGUUUCCAUGUGUCCAAUACAUGUAUUGUAAGACUGGUAGAGACUGGUUGUUAUCGUCAGUACUGUUGAGAGUGGUUGAGACUGGUUGUGUUGUCAGUACUGUGAGACUGAUUGUGUUGUCAGUACUGUUGAGACUGGUUGUGUUGUCAGUACUGUGAGACUGGUUGUGUUGUCAGUACUGUUGACACUGGUUGUGUUGUCAGUACUGUGAGCAUGUUGAGACUGGUUGAGACUGGUUGUGUUGUCAGUACUGUGAGUAUGUUGAGACUGGUUGAGACUGGUUGUGUUGUCAGCACUGUGAGCAUGUUGAGACUGGUUGAGACUGGUUGUGUUGUCAGCACUAUAAGCAUGUUGAGACUGGUUGUGUUGUCAGUACUGUGAGACUGAUUGUGUUGUCAGUACUGUUGAGACUGGUUGUGUUGUCAGCACUAUAAGCAUGUUGAGACUGGUUGAGACUGGUUGUGUUGUCAGUACUGUGAGUAUGUUGAGACUGGUUGAGACUGGUUGUGUUGUCAGUACUGUGAGCAUGUUGAGACUGGUUGUGUUGUCAGUACUAUAAGCAUGUUGAGACUGGUUGAGACUGGUUGUGUUGUCAGUACUAUAAGCAUGUUGAGACUGGUUGAGACUGGUUGUGUUGUCAGUACUGUGAGCAUGUUGAGACUGGUUGAGACUGGUUGUGUUGUCAGUACUAUAAGCAUGUUGAGACUGGUUGAGACUGGUUGUGUUGUCAGUACUGUGAGCAUGUUGAGACUGGUUGAGACUGGUUGUGUUGUCAGCACUGUGAGCAUGUUGAGACUGGUUGAGACUGGUUGUGUUGUCAGCACUAUAAGCAUGUUGAGACUGGUUGUGUUGUCAGUACUGUGAGACUGAUUGUGUUGUCAGUACUGUGAGACUGAUUGUGUUGUCAGUACUGUGAGUAUGUUGAGACUGGUUGAGACUGGUUGUGUUGUCAGUACUGUGAGUAUGUUGAGACUGGUUGUGUUGUCAGUACUGUGAGUAUGUUGAGACUGGUUGUGUUGUCAGUACUGUGAGUAUGUUGAGACUGGUUGAGACUGGUUGUGUUGUCAGUACUGUGAGUAUGUUGAGACUGGUUGAGACUGGUUGUGUUGUCAGUACUGUGAGUAUGUUGAGACUGGUUGUGUUGUCAGUACUGUAUGUUGAGACUGGUUGUGUUGUCAGUACUGUGAGCAUGUUGAGACUGGUUGAGACUGGUUGUGUUGUCAGUACUGUGAGCAUGUUGAGACUGGUUGAGACUGGUUGAGACUGGUUGUGUUGUCAGUACUGUGAGCAUGUUGAGACUGGUUGAGACUGGUUGUGUUGUCAGCACUAUAAGCAUGUUGAGACUGGUUGAGACUGGUUGUGUUGUCAGUACUGUGAGCAUGUUGAGACUGGUUGAGACUGGUUGAGACUGGUUGUGUUGUCAGUACUAUAAGCAUGUUGAGACUGGUUGAGACUGGUUGUGUUGUCAGCACUAUAAGCAUGUUGAGACUGGUUGAGACUGGUUGUGUUGUCAGUACUAUAAGCAUGUUGAGACUGGUAGAGACUGGUUGUGUUGUCAGUACUAUAAGCAUGUUGAGACUGGUAGAGACUGGUUGAGACUGGUUGUGUUGUCAGUACUAUAAGCAUGUUGAGACUGGUUGUGUUGUCAGUACUAUAAGCAUGUUGAGACUGGUUGAGACUGGUUGUGUUGUCAGUACUAUAAGCAUGUUGAGACUGGUAGAGACUGGUUGUGUUGUCAGUACUAUAAGCAUGUUGAGACUGGUAGAGACUGGUUGAGACUGGUUGUGUUGUCAGUACUAUAAGCAUGUUGAGACUGGUUGUGUUGUCAGUACUAUAAGCAUGUUGAGACUGGUUGAGACUGGUUGUGUUGUCAGUACUAUAAGCAUGUUGAGACUGGUUGGGACUGGUUGAGACUGGUUGGGGAGAUAAAAUUACACCUUAUAAAGAUAAUCACCUGCCUCCAACCAAAUGGAUUUGGAAUACUUUAGUCCAGGCCAUUUUCUGACUUUGAAGUGACUUUUAUUUUCUUGGUCCUGUGCAGUUGUUAAUCAAACUAAUAUACGUAUGAACGCGCAGUUAUGAACGCGCAGUUUUUUUUUUUUCAAUAUCAACUUAUUUUUUAGAAGAAAUUGUGAAUUAUUUCAAGUGUGCCAAUCCAUUAGAACAUAGCUGUAGUUCUCAGAUCUCUGUGGUCAUUAGACCCAACAGCUGUUCAGAAUGAAAUAAAGAUCUACAAACUAUUUUAUAUUUUUGCAUUUUAAUAUACAUAGAUGAAGAUUUCAUUUUCAUGUUUUAGUCCUUUUUUUUGUGUGGAGGGGGUGAUGAAGAGAGUGAGAUGAGGAGAGAGGACUUUUGAGAGAUUGAUACUUGAUCUACAGAGAUGACAGUAGAAGUAAUCAAUAGUCUACAGUGGGUUUAUUUAAAAGCGAUUUGAUAUUUAGAGAUAAUUUCCCAAGACAUAGAUUAAUCCUGGACUAAAGCGGUAUUUCAAUGGAGAUUUUCCAUUUAAGCAGAUUUUUUUUAGUACUAAACUAAGCCUAACUUUAAUCUGUGUCUGGGAAACCUGACAUUAAAGUUGAUUUCCAUUUCCUAUUUACUCCGUUACUGUAAAUAUUAUGUUAUUAUUAUCAAUGUUCCCUAUAAGCUGCGUGGGCGCACGGCUUCCCGGGACCUCAGCCCGCGCAGAGAUGUACGAGAUUGAACUGUCUAGUUUUCCCUUUUAGUUAACACUAUCAGCGUUUCCCUUUACUGUGCGAAUUAGGAUUGAAUCAACGCAAUAUUAGCCAUUUUCAAUGCAACCACACUGAAAGAAAACAAACUAUGCAAGAGAUUUUCUUGUAGGCAGAGAGAAUUGGAGUAGGAAUCUAUUGUAUUGACAGGCACGACAUCAGGCACGAAACAGGCCCAUACUCUACACCGACCGGUGCGCCAUAACCAAUCAGAGCUGCGGUAUCCCUAUAUUCGGUCUUAAAGGGGCAGUGUUGAAUUUUGAGACAUGCUUGAAUAAGCUAAGUAGCAAAUAAGUGGAAGGUAGCAAUAAUUUGUCUGAUUCUCUGUAAUAAUGGUAUGGGAAUAAUAAUGCAUUUAAUUUUGUCAAGCGGUUUCUUGCAUCAAACAACACAAAAACAUGUUCAUUCACCUCCUUGUCUAAAGGACAAGUGGAUGAACAGGUUGUCAAUCCCGGCAUGUUUGUUUCAACAGUGUCAUGGAAUGUAGGCCUGCAUUGAACACCACACAUUGACUGCUACUGUAGGUUGAACGAUAGAACGGCUAUUUCCAUCUUAACAUAUUAUGGGAUGCAUUUUCUCCAUUGUUUUUGAUGGUAGGCUACUCUGGUAGGCCUAUAUUAUGAUCAAAUAUCCAGAGCAGCCUACUUGACCACUUAAAACUGUAACUUAAAGUGGGUACAGCCUCAGUGUUCACAGUAAAACUGUAACUUCAAGAGGGUACAGCCUCAGUGUUCACAGUAAAACUGUAACUUAAAGCAGGUACAGCCUCAGUGUUCACAGUAAACCUGUAACUUAAAGCAGGUACAGCCUCAGUGUUCACAGUAAACCUGUAACUUAAAGCAGGUACAGCCUCAGUGUUCACAGUAAACGCGUGCCAGAAGUUGCACAGAAUUUUCACAAUGUUCAAGUUUGUGCUCAAAAGACCUGAAAUUUGCUCAAUUGCCGAAGGAAUAUUGAUCACUAUUGUGUUUCCUUUAAUACUGUAUCGUUACUGUUCUGUCCUCUGCUUUUACUACUUUUGAAUAGCUAAAAACGUUUGAUUUUAAGAUCUGCUACUAAAAGUAAAUUAUACCUGAGAAAAGAAACUUCAGUAUUGUACUCUGUUUUUACCUGGGGGUGGUGAUCUGUUAUUAUUAUUUUUGUACAAUAUGACAUCUUAGUAUUUUUUUUUCUUAAGGCUUUUCAAAAUAAAGUUAUUUUUAGGGUAUUCAG
ensembl:lncRNA